rnacentral:rRNA from 1 species
UACGGAGGGUGCAAGCGUUGUCCGGAUUUAUUGGGUUUAAAGGGUACGUAGGCGGAUAUUUAAGUCAGAGGUGAAAGCCUGCAGCUCAACUGUGGAAUUGCCUUUGAUACUGAAUAUCUUGAGUACAGUAGAGGUGGGCAGAAUUCAUGGUGUAGCGGUGAAAUGCAUAGAUACCAUGAGGAAUACCGAUAGGGAAGCCAGCUCACUGGACUGUAACUGACGCUAAGGUACGAAAGCGUGGGGAGCGAACAGG